rnacentral:rRNA from 1 species
AUUGAACGCUGGCGGAAUGCUUUACACAUGCAAGUCGAACGGUAACAGGUUAAGCUGACGAGUGGCGAACGGGUGAGUAAUGCAUCGGAACGUGCCCGGUCGUGGGGGAUAACGCAGCGAAAGCUGCGCUAAUACCGCAUACGAUCUGAGGAUGAAAGCGGGGGACCGUAAGGCCUCGCGCGAUCGGAGCGGCCGAUGUCAGAUUAGGUAGUUGGUGGGGUAAAGGCUCACCAAGCCAACGAUCUGUAGCUGGUCUGAGAGGACGACCAGCCACACUGGGACUGAGACACGGCCCAGACUCCUACGGGAGGCAGCAGUGGGGAAUUUUGGACAAUGGGCGAAGGCCUGAUCCAGCAAUGCCGCGUGCAGGAAGAAGGCCUUCGGGUUGUAAACUGCUUUUGUACGGAGCGAAAAGGUCUCCUCUAAUACAGGGGGCUCAUGACGGUACCGUAAGAAUAAGCACCGGCUAACUACGUGCCAGCAGCCGCCGUAA